UCAUUGACGAGACUGGCAUCGAUGUUGUCUAUGAUCCAGUUGAAACAACAGUCGUCUCGCUGCUGCCAUCGGUUGUAGUUCAGGUCGGUUGGCUGGGGAGGGUGAUACCAUCUGUAACUCAUGUUAUGUGAGACGCCAAACCCUUCCCACGGAUGCCCCUUUUCAUCAGUUUUGCCCAUAGGGGAUAACUGUCCCCAUUGAGCUUUUCUGCCAUGCGCACCUCGCCUAGUGAUUCUACAGAUGAAGGCUGGUUGUUUGGGCUUUUCUGAGACAUACUCAGUCUCAUGAAUUCAGCGAAUUGCUCAGCUGAAAGGGUUCAAAAGGCCGGGGAAGGUGCUCGAGACUAUGAUGAUAAUUUUCUGAGUCUCAAGCCCGAAUAAACCUCUGAUACCAUCUUAAAGAUGGUAAUCGAGAGAGGCGAGAUUCAUAGGGCAGCGCAUAUUGAGAAAGCUUUGGGAGAAGAUGGUUUUUGUAAUUAUUUGUUGUGUUUACAAUGUAAUUCAACACCUCAAUAUAUAGGUGUGAAUAUGAGCUAUGUAUGGAAAACACAAUAUUUUUGUAAUCAAUCUAUUUUAGGACAAUAUAUAAUUGUAUCAAUCUUAGUAAAUUGAUUUAUUC